rnacentral:rRNA from 1 species
GAUGAACGCUGGCGGCGUGCCUAAUACAUGCAAGUCGAGCGGCAGCACGGUCUUCGGACUGGUGGCGAGCGGCGGACGGCUGAGUAACGCGUAGGAAUAUACCCCAAAGUGAGGGAUAACUGCCCGAAAGGGUGGCUAAUACCGCAUGUGGUCUUCGGACUAAAGCCUUCGGGCGCUUUGGGAAUAGCCUGCGUAAGAUUAGCUAGUUGGUGAGGUAAUGGCUCACCAAGGCGACGAUCUUUAGCUGGUCUGAGAGGAUGACCAGCCAGACUGGAACUGAGACACGGUCCAGACUCCUACGGGAGGCAGCAGUAGGGAAUUUUCCACAAUGGGCGAAAGCCUGAUGGAGCAACGCCGCGUGCAGGAUGAAGGCCCUCGGGUCGUAAACUGCUUUAUGUGCGAAGAAUAUGACGGUAACACAUGAAUAAGGGUCGGCUAACUACGUGCCAGCAGCCGCGGUAAU